rnacentral:rRNA from 1 species
GUCCUAGCCGUAAACGUUGGGUGCUAGGUGUGGGAGGACAUUGACCCCUUCCGUGCCGAAGCUAACGCAUUAAGCACCCCGCCUGGGGAGUACGGCCGCAAGGCUAAAACUCAAAGGAAUUGACGGGGCCCGCACAAGCGGCGGAGCAUGCGGCUUAAUUCGAUGCAACGCGAAGAACCUUACCUGGGUUUGACAUGCAGGGUGAAAUCGGUGAAAGCCGACGCUCUUCGGAGCCUGCACAGGUGGUGCAUGGCUGUCGU